rnacentral:lncRNA from 1 species
GGGCUGGGGGCGUCGGGCAGAGCGCCGGUGAAAUUCUGCCAGUGGCUAAGGCGCCUACUGUGCCCCUGGCUCUGCGAGGGUCGGGGGACUGUCACCAGGCCCAAAGUCGCCAGGGAGGAGGGGCGUGAAUGACGAAGCUCAGAUCCGGGCAAAGGAUCGGAGAGGUCUCAUCUCAGAGGCAGGCUCAGGAAGGGAGCUGGGAGAUGCCGGCAGAGGGCCCAGGAGAGGCACACUGCCCACCAGCUAGGAGCUGCUUCUGACCUCGCUGGCCGAUGGCCGGGGACCCUGGCCCCUCCCAACCCCAGGGACACAAAGCAGAAGAUCCCAGAAUGGGGAUGGGGAGAGAGGACCAUCUUGUUCAACUUCCUCAUUCUAUACCAGGAAAACAGGCAUCGGAGAAGGGAAGAGAUACCUCAAGGUCAACGCCAAGUCCAGCAGCUGCUGCUCUCCUGAGUCCUCCACGUGGACUUCUUCUGCGUUCCCACAUCUCAUUCCUCCAAUUUUUUUUUAAAAAUUGUUAGUAGUAGCAUAAUACUAAGAAAGCACUAUUCAAAGGAACAAGAAGACCCACCGUGUGCGGAACGGUCACUGUGCACCAGGCAACGUGACCCGCAAUUUUCUCUCCUAUAAAACGGGGAUGAGAACAGGGCCUCCCCUGCUGACUCAUGGGAAGAGGUUAAGAUCAAAGGUGACAGUGGACAUGAAUCAGCAUUUUAUAAACCACAAGACAUUGUCACCAUGGCUAUCUUUGGUUUUUAUUAUUUAUUUUUUAAUUUUUUAAUUUUUAUUUUUUGAGAGCAGGGUCUCACUCUGUUACCCAGGCUGCAGUGCAGUGGUGCAAUCAUGGCUCUCUGCAGGCUCAAAUCCUGGGCUCAAGCAAUCCUCCACUCAGCCUCCUGAGUAGGUGGGACUAUAGGUGUGUGCCACCUUGCUAUUAAAUUACCUGGCUAUGGCCGGGCACAGUGGCUCACACCUGUAAUCCCAACACUUUGGGAGGCUGAGGCGGGUGGAUCACUUGAGGUCAGGAGUUCAAGACCAGCCUGGCCAACCCCGUCUCUACUGAAAAUACAAAAAUUAGCUGGGCAUGGUGGCACAUGCCUGUAAUCUCAGCUGCUAGAGAGGCUGAGACACAAGAAUUGCUUGAACUUGGGAGGCAGAGGUUGCAGUGGGUCGAGAUUGCCCCACUGCACUCCAGCCUGGGUGACAGAGCGGGACCCUGUCUCCAAAA